rnacentral:rRNA from 1 species
UACGUAGGUGGCGAGCGUUGUCCGGAUUUACUGGGCGUAAAGGGAGCGUAGGCGGACUUUUAAGUGAGAUGUGAAAUACCCGGGCUUAACUUGGGUGCUGCAUUUCAAACUGGAAGUCUAGAGUGCAGGAGAGGAGAAUGGAAUUCCUAGUGUAGCGGUGAAAUGCGUAGAGAUUAGGAAGAACACCAGUGGCGAAGGCGAUUCUCUGGACUGUAACUGACGUUGAGGCUCGAAAGCGUGGGGAGCAAACAGGAUUAGAUACCCUGGUAGU